rnacentral:rRNA from 1 species
UACGAAGGGUGCUAGCGUUGUUCGGAAUUACUGGGCGUAAAGCGCGCGUAGGCGGCUAUUCAAGUCAGAGGUGAAAUCCUUGGGCUCAACCCAAGAAUUGCCCUUUGAAACUGCAUAGCUAGAGUGUCGGAGGGGAUAGCGGAAUUCCUAAUGUGAGAGGUGAAAUUCGUAGAUAUUAGGAGGAACACCGGUGGCGAAGGCGGCUAUCUGGACGACAACUGACGCUGAGGCGCGAAAGCACGGGGAUCAAAC